rnacentral:misc_RNA from 1 species
AUAGUCAGUUCGGUGUUCAGUCUCAGAGACUCAGACUCAGUCAGUAGGUUACCAAUACAGAGACAGAACAUACAGUGAGACAAAUACCUAUAUUUAGGUCUGAAACUGACUGUGAUAAUUAUUCAUUGUUAAUUCUUGUUGUACGUGAUCUGUUGUCUACUGAAAUUGUUUUAAAAAAUAUAAAUGCGACAAAUUUGUUUAAAAACGAGAAAAAGAUGAAAUAUGAUAAAGAACACUGAUGAAGAAUAUUCAUUCUAUUAUUGCAAGUAAACCUUAAAAAGGCUGUAGAAUGGAGAGAGACAAUACUAUACCGUUUGAGAAACAGUAUAAGGUUGGACAUGUCCUGGGUAAAGGUGGAUUUGGAGUGGUGUAUGCCGGAGUUAGGAACCGGGAUGGAUUAAAGGUUGCCAUCAAACAUGUCGCCAAACUCAAAAUCAAGGAAUGGGAAAAUGUUGGAUGUGAGCGGGUUCCCCUGGAGAUCUGCUUGAUGUUCAAGCUGCGAGGAGAACCUGGAGUAGUCCGUCUUCUCGACUAUUUUGAGCGACAUGAUUCCUUCAUCAUCAUCAUGGAACGUCCAGAUCCAUGCAAAGAUCUCUUCGAUUUUAUCACAGAAAAAGGAGUUUUAGAAGAACAAUUAGCUAGGAACUUUUUUCAUCAGGUUGUGCAGACUAUCAUAGCUUAUCAUAGAAAAGGAGUCAUUCAUAGAGACAUAAAGGAUGAAAACCUGUUAGUGGAUUUGAACACACUUCAGCUCAAGUUGAUCGACUUCGGGUCCGGGGCCUUUCUCAGGGACUCAGUCUACACAGACUUUGACGGAACCAGAGUUUACGCUCCUCCUGAAUGGAUAGAGCAGGGUAGAUACUAUGGGGAGGCUGCGACCGUCUGGUCCCUAGGCAUCCUCCUCUAUGACAUGGUCUGCGGGGAUAUCCCAUUCGAGACGGAUCAGCAGAUCUGUCAGGCACAACUCAGAUUCCGGUACAGAGUGAGCGCUGAGUGCCAGGACCUGAUCCAGAAUUGUCUCAGGGUUGACACUGACCAGCGCGCUACUCUUCAAUCCAUUCUCCGACAUCCUUGGCUCAAGAAAUCCGCCAACAGUGAGUCCGUGACCCAGCCCGGCCUCCCCAUACCCGCCGGGCCCAAUAAUAAUAAUCAGUACGAGGAGACGCUCAACUCCGUCGGCUCAAACAUCUCGACCGGAAGCGAUAGUCCAAAUUUUGGUCUGUCGACCGGCGACCGAAGUAUGAUACCGCUGACCCACCUUGACGGUCCGAUUUCAUCCCUAGGAGCAUCGGAUGUCCGCGUGCGCGUUGAGCAGAUUGAUAAACACGAGCGCAGAGACUGCCCGUCUGUCAUGGAAAUAUCGCCAGCUAGUUAUGCAACUCUAUAAAUUCAAAAGAACUAGUUAAAUAUUCAAAAAUGCGCGAAUUCAACUUCCUACAAUCUCAUUUAGUCUUGUACAGUGUACACUCCGCCAUGUUGAAUGUUAACCCUUGAUUGACAAACAGGAAAUUAUCUGGGCAUAUUUUGCUUUUACACUUAGAAAUGUUAAUACUAUGUCUGUUUUGAUAAAUCAAUUCGUUUAAAAAACCAAAAAAAUAUUUUUGGGUUUCCGAAACCUUCCCUCGAUACCAGUGAACGUUAUUUUGUGCGUGCCAUUAUGUUGUGUUUGAAACCUUUAAUAGAGUAAAGUUAUUAAUUCGGAUUUUAAAAACUAAAUUGUUACCAUCUAAAUUAUCCAUACCUACUUCUCCCUUGACAUAAAUAUUUAAUAUAUAUAUCAUGAGUUGUGUACAAACGUACAUAAAAUGUUUGAGCUCGGUGUAACUAAAUUGUACCUUUAAAUGACCUUUGAGGGCGCGAGCGUAGCGAGAAAGCGACCCUUUUUUUACUUGACAAAACCAAUGAUCUCCUUAAAGGUCUAGACACCAGGGGAAACUAUUCCGCUGAAAAUGCUUUUCAAAAAAACUGCCGAUUUCUUCUCAAAAAUUCUAACAAUUGUAAUCUAAUUAAUUUCUGAAAACUUUUUAUUAAUUGUCCCUUCAAGGGAAAGUAUAAAGGCCUGACUAAAGUAAUUUUCUUCAGUACAACGUUCUUUUGUAUAGUACAGUUAACAGUACGCUAAUGGACAGGAAAAAUACAGUACACAGUACGCUAUAGAAAGUACACAGUACGGUACAGGACACAGUACAUUACAGUAUAGUACAGUAAAGUUUAGCGUAUAUCUAUACAUAAGAAUGAUGUGCAUCCAAGAAAUUUGUAAAUUAACCAUUUUGUGAAUAAUAACCUGAAGGUGUAUAGUGUACAGUGGUGUGAAGAGUCCAGAUUUUUCAGUACAUAAAAUGUACAUUGUGUACAUUUGGUGGUAUACUUCCCUCGCGUUAAAUAGUAUUUGUAAGUUUGUACAGGGUCUUUUAGUGUACACACACACACAGUGUACUGUAGUUGUUUGUUUACAUUGUACGCUGUAGUGUACUUCAGUCUCUCUCCACAUAUCCAAAGGAUUAAAAAUUUGAUUUGACAUUUUUUUAUAUUUUUAUAAAUUCAAAAAGUUAAACAUGUUUUAAACCCAUCUUUUGGAGAGAUAAAAAACUAUGUAUUGUAGUAGAUUUGCCGUAGUUUAAUUAAUCUGUAGAUAUCAAUUCUUUUGGUUUUAGAAAUAAUUCAUAAUAAUUUACAACAAUUCAAAUGUGCAGAUAUUAGGAGUUAUUAAUCAAAUUAGAAACUAAACCGACAAAUUUUCGGGAAAUUUACAUUUAUUAGGAAAAUCGCCAAUUUUAGACAAAACUUAAAAACAAAUAUUUUGUUUCGUUCUAGUCAAAAAGUAUUGUCAACUAUAAAAUUGUAUAAAAGUUAUUUUAAAAAAUAGGAAUUGCGAAAUAGUAACAAAAAUUUUAGUAGAAAAACCAAUUAAUAGUUUUUAAAAAUUUACAAUGAUAAGCAGAGACGCAACUGUAGUGUUUUGUCGUUGCGCCUUUGAUAAUAAGGCAUUAGAUAAUUAUUAACCAAUUUUGUAUAACCGUUGUAUGUCACAUGUAAAGUUUAUUAGUUUAUCUUGAAAUAAAAUCAAUCAAUUUAUCGUUUUUCAUCAAUUAUAAAUAGAUUGAUUUUAAUACCCCCGUUGGUUUCUUAAAUGUUUCAGUGACCAAGAAUUAGAAAUAAAUUUAAUAAAAAUA